UACGUAGGUGGCAAGCGUUGUCCGGAUUUACUGGGCGUAAAGAGCGCGCAGGCGGUUAGAUAAGUCGAAUGUGAAAGCCCCCGGCUCAACUGGGGAGGGUCAUUCGAUACUGUUCGACUCGAAGGCAGGAGAGGGAAGUGGAAUUCCCGGUGUAGUGGUGAAAUGCGUAGAUAUCGGGAGGAACACCAGUGGCGAAGGCGACUUCCUGGGCUGUGCUUGACGCUGAGGCGCGAAAGCGAGGGGAGCAAACGGG
rnacentral:rRNA from 1 species